AUUGAACGCUGGCGGCAGGCCUAACACAUGCAAGUCGAGCGGUAGCACAGAGAGCUUGCUCUCGGGUGACGAGCGGCGGACGGGUGAGUAAUGUCUGGGAAACUGCCUGAUGGAGGGGGAUAACUACUGGAAACGGUAGCUAAUACCGCAUAAUGUCGCAAGACCAAAGUGGGGGACCUUCGGGCCUCAUGCCAUCAGAUGUGCCCAGAUGGGAUUAGCUAGUAGGUGGGGUAACGGCUCACCUAGGCGACGAUCCCUAGCUGGUCUGAGGAUGACCAGCCACACUGGAACUGAGACACGGUCCAGACUCCUACGGGAGGCAGCAGUGGGGAAUAUUGCACAAUGGGCGCAAGCCUGAUGCAGCCAUGCCGCGUGUGUGAAGAAGGCCUUCGGGUUGUAAAGCACUUUCAGCGGGGAGGAAGGCGAUAAGGUUAAUAACCUUGUCGAUUGACGUUACCCGCAGAAGAAGCACCGGCUAACUCCGUGCCAGCCGCCGCCGUAACAC
rnacentral:rRNA from 1 species